GCCGGGCGCCGUGGACCCGGGACGCCUGCCCCCGGGUACCCUCCGCGGAUUCCCCGACCGCGCGCCCCGCCGACCCCGGAUCCCGGCGGCAGGGAGCUCCGGAGGCGGCCGGCACCAUGCGGCGGACGUGGGGCGCGCUGCUGCUCGGCACCCUGCUCAGCGCACACGAUAACAUCUUUGGGACUGACACAUGGUAUCAAGAAUGACAGGUGCAAGAGACCCAGGGCUGGCCAUGACUGACACUGAGCACGUUGGGCAUGUUCAUCUUCUGAGCCAGCACAGGACACAGAAGGUCACAGAGGAUUUUAUAGCUCUUCUCUCGCUCUGGAGCUUUCUACUGAUUAACUGCUAGCCUUGAUCCCUAAGAAGAAGCAAAAACGGGAGGGAUUGUUUAUAUUGCUGUUCCUCAAAGAGAAUAAACACUAAGAGGUUAUUGAAUGGGAGCAGAAUGGGUGUCUCCUAAGGACAGGACAGUUCUGUGCCCUUGGCCUGUUCUAGACAUAGUCUCUCUGUGAGACUCGCCACCACUUUGUCACAGUUGUCUGGACAUGGGCCAUCUGAGUCCCAUACUGUGUUGGCUUGCCGUCUUGUUUCAGCAACAGAAGCCUUGCUCCUCGCUCAGCCUGGUGGGAUUUGGCGUCCCAGGGAAGACUCUGCUGGCUGGUUGGCUGGCAGAGCCUGAGUGUGGCCCUAUAAAUAGCUCUGCUGACUGCCCAUGCUUCCACUGGCCCUCCAGCUUUGAGCUGCAGGGAUCCAGCUCUCUCUCCUUGGUACACUCAGAAGCAUUGUCCAAACUAGGCUCUGCACCCAUUCAUUUGUUCGUUCAUUCAACAAGCAUUAAGCUUUUUUGUUGUUGUUGGGUUUUUUUGGUACCGGGGAUCGAACUUGGGUCCUUCCGCUUGCGGAGGCAAGGGCGGAACCACCGAGCUAAAUCCCCGGCCCAACAUUAAGCUAACAUAUGUGGCUCAGUAAUUGAGAAACACAGGCAAGACCUGGUUUUGAAUCUUGGCUUUGACACUUCUUGGUGACCCUGUGUGAAACACUGAAUCUCCCUGAGUUUCAGGGUUCUUACCUGCAAAUGAGGGUGAAGUGAGGAAAGGAGGAAGGUAGUCAAUUUUCACCUAAGAAUGCUAUAAAACUUGAGAUAAUAGCGUGUUCAAACUAUCCAGCACAGAGCCUGGCAACUACUGUGAUACUAUAGGGCUGGAUAGUGUCACCUGUUUGUUAGCAGGGUUGCGUAAGUGGAUCAGAGAUAGUUCUUGCCUUUGGGAUAUGGGAGCCAGGUAAAUAAUUAUACCACAGUGUCUGUGUGCUUAGACGCUUAGUCCUUCAUUCAUUUCAGCUGGUGUUUUGCUUUUCUCUGGGACGUCUUGUGCCUUCUUCCUUCUCAUUCAAAGCCUCAUGAAACCUAAGCGUGGUUCCUGCCUGUCCACACUUUGGGGAAAGAGGUCCAUUAAGCUUUCAAUGAGCAGGGCAGCCCCGUUCUGCCUUAGAGGUGCCUGGGAGAUGGAGCUUCCUUGUAUAAUAGUCAGGGAGCAGCCACAACUUCUCACCCUUAGCUUGCUGUGACCCCAAGGUGAGAGGUGCUGGCCAAGGUCUCUUGUAGCUGGAACAGUUUAGAAUUCCAACUCUCCCUCCCUUGGGCCUGAGGAGGGAGUCGGGCCUCAAAGCUUAUAAGGUAGCAAUUGCCUCGAUUUGGGGGCUGGGCUGUUGGAGCCUCCUUUCUUCGUGAACCCUGUCACUUACAGGGAUAAUUGAUGCAGGGCUCCAGCCCCAGACUCACCCCUAGACCCCUAGCACCUCCACCCCAAAGUUUGACCCCUGUUGUCUCUUUGUUUCUUCCUUUUAAGUUGGUGCCAGUGAUGUGAUGUUUCUGGGAGCUACGGAAAGUUGACUGUAACCCAGAGCAGCCGUUUUUCAAAGAGCCGAUUCUCUGGUUUCCUGGCGGUCCUUUGAGUCUAUUUUCUGUUCUGCAUUUUUGAUUUAGCAAGAAGCAAACAUCCUAGGUGCCCUUGGGCACCUCUUAUGCCCAUCCAAGCAGACUUCGUUAUUUCAGAGCACGUCAGCAUUCCCAUCUGUGCUCACACAUGAGUGAGCCUCGCUGCACCCUGCCCUGCUCCCCCUCGCCCCACGAGUGGGGCUUUUGGAGCCCCUGGUCAUUCAGGUGAGAGUGAGGAGGGGAGGGGCACGGCCUGGGACCCAGCAGGAAAGCCUGGCUGGGACUUGCAGCAAGCCCAGACUUGGCAAAUGGGAUCUAAGGAUCAGAGCUGCGAGCAAGCCGGAAACAAAGGACUGGGAGCAAACCUCCCAUCUGGCCGAGAGGCAGCGACACAAAGGUGCUGCUGCAUAAUUUAUCACCGGAG
rnacentral:lncRNA from 1 species